rnacentral:rRNA from 1 species
UACGUAGGGUGCAAGCGUUAAUCGGAAUUACUGGGCGUAAAGCGUGCGCAGGCGGUUUUGUAAGUAUGUCGUGAAAUCCCCGGGCUCAACCUGGGAAUUGCGAUGGAGACUGCAAGGCUAGAAUCUGGCAGAGGGGGGUAGAAUUCCACGUGUAGCAGUGAAAUGCGUAGAGAUGUGGAGGAACACCGAUGGCGAAGGCAGCCCCCUGGGUCAAGAUUGACGCUCAUGCACGAAAGCGUGGGGAGCAAACAGG